UUCAGAGUGUUUUAAAAAUCAUGUCUUGCUAAAUCUCUCUGAUCUCUUCCUGCCUGAGUAUGGCAUAUCUGUGAAAGAAAAUCUUCCAUUAGUUUAAAAGUAUGCUCUGUGCUUGCCAUACAAUAGAUCUUGCAGAUCAGAAAUUAAGCUUAGACCAGGGAUACUAAACUCAGAUGAGUUUGAAGAAGUAGUCUAAAUUAAUGGUAUUAACAGAUAAAAGGCAGUGCCUGUUUAAGUGGCCAAGAGGAGAAGGCCAGGCCUUUGUUUUGGCAUAGCAUACCUGCUGUUAUGAGCCAUUAAUUUUAGAUAUUCCGUCUUCAUACUCAUCUGCUGGCUUUGGAAACAGGGGAAAGAAAAGAAAGAAAGAGGAAAAAGAAAGAAAAAGGGAAAAAAGGGUUUUUAUAGCUUGGAGUUUAAUUUGCUAACAAAGAACCCGAGGCAUCAGCAUCAAGAGAAAAGGAGAAAGCUAUCGAUGACUAAAACAGGAGAUUUACGGUCAUUAGAGUUCAAGGUCCAGUUCAACAUCUAGAAAGAUCCCGACUCCAUCAAGAAAAUUUUGGUGAUGUAUUUCUUCCUUUUGUUUAAGUGGCAUGUACUAGGUGAUUGAACACGAGUUGUAUAUAUAUAAAUAUAUAUAUGCUAAAUGAUCUUGGUUGUGAGU